rnacentral:misc_RNA from 1 species
CUUUAACACAGGCUUCAUAAUUUCCUUUAUUGAUCUUAUGUUUUUCUGACAAGACUUACAAGCAUAGGCUUGCAUGAGCGUACCACGCACUUACGCUCAUAAUUUUGUACGCGGAACAUUUGAGAAAACAUGGUUCUAAGGUUUUUACAGAAACCAAGCUUCUCUCUUGCUUUUUUUUUUAAAAAAAAUUUAAUAGUAUUCUCCUCUGAUAAACUCAUUUAGCCGCUUCAAUUCUUUGUCCUGCUGCUCCACUACUGCUCGUACGACAUCUACAAUGGAAACCAUGCCGACUAUCUUUCCAUCUAUAACAGGAACAUGCCGAAUGUGAUUGUCUGUCAUAAGUUGCAUUGCCUGAAGAAUAUUUGUAUCAGAUGUCACUGUUAUUAACUUCUUCUCAUCAGUCAUGAUUUCCCCAACUCUUGUGUACUUGGAGGAUCUCCCUUGUGCAAUUAUUUUCCUCAGAUAGUCUCUUUCUGUGAUGAUUCCUGCAAUAUGUUGUUCUUCAGGCUUUAGCACUACUAGUGACCCAAUAUUAUUUUUUGCCAUAUUGUUGACAGCAUCAUAGACAGUGUCAUUGGUGCGGCACCACAGCCAAGAACCAGUUUUUUCCUCUCCCUUUGUCAUCAGCACAUCUGCCACUGUUAAAUUCUCCAAUCCCUUCUCUGGCAUGGGAGGAGAUGAGAUGACACAUUCAAAACGGGAAAAAAUAUUUUGUCUUUCUACUAUGUCUUUCCAAUGAAAAUGCUUUGGAAUUCCAACUGUGAGAAUUUCUUGGCAAGAUCUUACCCCUCGGAUGAGUCCCUGCAUUCUGUCCUUAGAGGAAGAUUAGAGUGCUUGAAAUAACUAGGAGCUCUUGUGAAGAUGAAGAUAUGAAUUUAGCUUGCUAAAUCGCAUUUUUGAAGGAGAAGACACAAGAAUAUCUCGUCUGGCAACUCUUUGCUUUUUGUGAUUGUG